GCCAAGGUACAUAUGCCAAUAAAAGCAGGGAAAUGGGGAACAAAGGAUGUCAUAGCAACCUCAAGGAGCCCUGUUGUGCUACCGACUGCAGAGCUCAUGGACAUCCAUCAGGAAGCCUCCAAUACCCAAACCAGAGACAGAGGAGCAAAAGGACCUCUCCUUGUGUGAUGCUGGCUAACAUCCCACUGGCCAAAACAGGUUACAUGUUAGGUGCAAAGGAAAACAUACCUCAGUUGUGAUUCUAAAUCUGUCUCCUGAGAAAUCUUGGAUGCCUGCUGAUCAUUUUGAAUUCCUUGCCACCCUCAACUUUCUGGCUGCAGGGGUAGUUGCCUAAUCCAUAUCCAUGUGGAUAGCUCUUUACUUAGGAAACCUUGAUGGCUUAUUUGGAUGACAAAGGGGUUCCCUUUUGGCGAUACAUAGCCAUGCGAGACAACAUAGCCAUGAAACAAACCAAGUCCACCAGUGGCUUCCUAGGAACACAUUUGCUUUCCUGAUAAAAGAGGACAGAUGCAGUUGCAGAAGUACCUGUGCCUCUUUUUCUUUUUCUUCUUCUUUUUCUUUUUUAAUCUCUUAAAUGCAGAUAUAAGAACUGGUACUGAAGCAGCCAUCUUGUGACCAUAAGGAAGAAGCCAAGAACAUCAGAACCAGUGGCCUAGCCAUUGCACAGUCAUCUAAACACACCUCUGGACUUGUUAUUAUGUAAAAAAAAAUAAACACCUGCUCUUGUUAUUUGCAAUUCAACAUAAUCGUAACUUACAUAAUAUUUAUCAAAUUGAUACAAAUAAGAAAUAAAUUACUUGGGAAUAAAAUUUCCA
rnacentral:lncRNA from 1 species